rnacentral:tRNA from 5 species
GGGCAAUUAGCUCAAUGGUAGAGCGCGUCGUUGACAUCGACGAGGCUGCUGGUCCGAUUCCAGCAUUGCCCACCA